UGGCAAGGGAACUUCGAGAUACUCUAAUUUACUUUGUUUUAACAUUUUUCCAGAGACUUUUUCAUAGAAAUAUCUGAGCAUAGAGUUGGUUAGAGUUGAUGAGCUAUCCGAACCCAAGAUAUUCUCCAGUCCGGCCUUUCCACCCCCAGAUGGAAUAGUGGACACAAUAGGAGCCGGGGACACGUUUAAUGCAACUAUUAUUGGUUGUAUUUCUCAGGGUUGGGAGUUAGAUAGAUGCCUUCUCUUAGCCUGUCAGGUUGCUGGGAGGAAGGUUGGUAUCAGAGGAUUCAAGGGUUUACGAGAACUCACUCCAUCCGUCCUGAGAAAUUAGAAUCCGUCCUGAGAAACUCCAAGCUUUUGUAACAUUUAGAAUUAUAAAGAAUCAUUUGAGAUGUAAUUAAUAAAUAUCAUAUUUUAUAAAAAAAUAA